rnacentral:rRNA from 1 species
CCUACGGGGGGCAGCAGUGGGGAAUAUUGCGCAAUGGGCGAAAGCCUGACGCAGCGACGCCGCGUGAGGGAUGAAGGUCUUCGGAUCGUAAACCUCUGUCAGCAGGGAAGAACGGUCACUGUGCUAAUCAGCAGUGAAUUGACGGUACCUGCAAAGGAAGCACCGGCUAACUCCGUGCCAGCAGCCGCGGUAAUACGGAGGGUGCGAGCGUUAAUCGGAAUUACUGGGCGUAAAGCGGUCGUAGGCGGUAUGUCAAGUCAAGGGUGAAAUCCCCGCGCUCAACGUGGGAACUGCCUUGGAAACGGGCAAGCUGGAGUGUGUGGGAGGAUAGGGGAAUUCCAGGUGUAGGAGUGAAUUC